GGUUGUAACUCAAAGCUUCGUAUAAAGACAAUGCAACUGCGUGGGAAUAAAAUAUUUUAAUGACGUUUUCUGUGUUGGACUUACGUUCUAUACCAUUACAGAAGAUGAUGCAGUUCAUCAAAUUAAACGUUUUGGUUUUAUUUCUAUUGGUAUCAAGUGUUUCCAGUGAGCAAAAGGAAGAGUAGAGGGGAAUAAGUGUACUUUCAACAACAGCAAUAUGGUCUGCGUCCAGGGCAGCUGACCAUCUUGGUGUUAAAUACAUAAGCAUGUUGAAAGCAUACGAAAAAAUAGAUACAGGCAUAAACACAUACUCCUAUUGGGUAUUCAUCAUGGCAGAGUCUAUAGAAGGAGAGCCUCAAGAAUGUCAGGGAAAAGUUUGGUGGUCAACUGAAGGUGGAGUGGAAGUUACCAGUGCAAGUUGCAGCCCUGUUGCAUAUUAAACAUAUGUUUAUUGCUAUGUCAACACGACAGGGCACUAAAAUGAUGACAUUGGAAUUGCAAAAGGUAUUUUAAAACAUAUCUCUGAAAUCAUAGUUGAAAAGCAAUAUAUGUAAAUUGGUUAAUCAUAAUGAAUAUUCAGAACUGUAUCGUUUCCUGAUUUACUUAUAGUUAUUCUGAAAUACUGUUGUUAUCAAAGUUCUGAUCAGAAGAAGAUAUAUUACAUGUAUAAAUGGCAAGUUCACGUAACUUUAAACCGUGCUGAUAAUGCAUUUUAAUUAUGAAAUUAUACAUUUCUAGGACAUACAUGAAUGCUAAAUCAGCAUAGGGUGUUUUUUAUAUAGAUUUCCAUCAAUGUUGUUGAAUUAGACCAGAGUAAGUCACUGGGAGAUUCUUCAGCCAAGUUUCAUUCAACCGGCAUCGUAUUGGAAUGAUAAGAAGAGAAAUCUCAGCAAAUAAAUAUAUGCUAUUCUUCUGUACAAUUGAUACUUUAUUGCAUAGAUGAAUAGUAUCACAGUAAAAUGACUGUUUUAAACAUUGAGACCAUGUUUGCUAUUUAUACAAAAACAAAACUAAAGCUUUAUUAUAUAAUCCUAUUAGCCUUUUAAAUAAAGGCUAAAGUCAGUAUUGUCAAGGACGAGGGACGAUGAACCUGAUAACCGAAAAAGAGCGGUCCUAUCCUAAUGCAUGCCAGGCUACAUAUGCAGGUUUGUCUUAAGUGUCGGAUGCUUAAUACCCAAUUCACUUAAAUUAUGCCAGACGAAGAACAGACCAUUUCUAAUGUUUCAUCCAAUAUAUUUGAAAAAGCUCUCAAAUAUGUAUAGUCUGUAUAGUUACGAUAAGUUCAUCAAUGGCAUAAUUUCUGUUGUGUAACCUGCACCAUUUAUAAAUGGCUGGUUAAGAUCUAGAUCUGCAAUCAUCGACAUAUGAUACCACAAUGACGAGCGAUACUCAUCUAAACUGUGCUAACAGCAAAUAUAAAUGUGAGUUAAGUGAGAGACUCAUAUACCACUGCCCAUGUAUAAUAAAUUUUAUGCAAUAAAGUUCAUGUCAUAAAUUGCACCUUGAAAAUGAAUAUUUUCCACAUAAUCAAUGUUCUUCAAAUAUUUUUAUUCAGCACUUGUAUAAAUGAAAGCAUAGGCUGCACCAGACCCUGUCCAUAUAAAAACCAAACGGUAGAAUAUUCAUCCUGAAUGCAGAAUUAGAUCACUACUAAAAUAAAUUCUAAACGAAGAUCCGUUGGAAGCAGAGAAUGCAACCAAGCAAAAUAAUAGUAGACUCGGUUUGACAGGGUCUAUUCAUGAGAGGUAAUGGAAUAUGUAACACCUCUCACGCCCCCUGGCAACGGGUUAAGCGGAAUUCUAUUACAGUGAUUUUGAAUAGACUCCAUGAUCCCUAAGGGCCAGAAAAUAUAAUAACAACACUGAAUUUAAGUACGAAAAAACUUAUUACAGCCGCCACAAGGCACUUAAAGGUUGUUGUUGUGAUAGUAAAUAAAAUCUGUAUACAGAUCCUUUGAAAGUAGAGAAUUUAUGAAUCAUUUAACAUGAGCAACUCAGACCAUAUAAGGGAACAUCAUUGAAGCAACACAUUCUGUAUCUCGGUCAAAACGAAAAAGGAACAUGGUGACAAUGUAGGAAAAACAAACGUCAACGGGCUUAGCAUUCUGACUAUUUAUCGCAUCUCGCACCGCUGCAUAAAAGGUAGUCAUUAACCUGUCAUCUGUACGUCUUACAUGAGGUAUAUAAUGAAAGCAGCGCUGUAAUUAUUGUUACCUGAAAUUAAUAAGACUUGAAGUAUGCAUCUCAAGAUGCACGAUUUGGGCCCAGGGGGAAUUCAGACUGUAACAGAUACUAUGUAUCCUUCUCUUUAUAUUCAACUGCCACGAUCACUUGAGCCCCACAAUUUCACUAUAUUGUACAAUAACAUAAAAGUCAAUAGAGGAGACAGGGGAACUGUCGGGCCUUAAUUCUUCAGCGGUAAUUUUCUGAUUUUAAAAGAAAGGCUAAACCUGCGUAAGGUUUGUGCACGGUGUAUACCGCAUUUAUUGACCCCUGAGCAAAAGAGGGAGAGGGUAGAAAAAGCUUCCGCCUUGGUCGUCAAAUACAAAAAAACAAGCAAUGUAUGCGUAUCAAAGAAAUCGUACAGGCGAUGAGACGUGACUGUACGUUUUUGAGCCUGACAGUAAUGAGAAUAUUAAAAUGUGAGUAGGCGAGAAUAACGAAAGGCCCGUUAUUGCUCGGCGGAGCAGAAGCGUCAGGCGGGUUAUGUGACUCCGAUGGAGUUGUGGCUCGUGUCCCUGUCCCUGAACACAAUAGCGUUACUGGUAUAUUUUACAAAGAAUAUGUCCUCUCUGUUGUUCUUGACCACUUUCCAGCAAAGCGCCCAAGGAAAGGUGCGUGUGGCAUCAAGCUGCAACAUGACAACGCCUUGGCCUAUCGUUCAGCCGUAAUACAGAAAUACUUCAAGAAGAAUUAUAUUGAGGUUUUACCACACCCACCAUUAUAGCCCUGAUAUUUCCUCUUGUGACUUUUGGUUUAAAUCAAGCUUAACUGGACGCCUCUUUACCAGGUAUAAACAGUUUACCUAAAGAGCUCUUCAAAAAUGCAUUUUCUUUCUAAGUGGCUUUUGCACUGGGAAACAUGUGAACAGUCAGAUGGAGAUUGCUAUUUAAGGUAUCACAUUUCUUGGAAAAUUACUGAGGUUUAUAUAGCCCGCCACUGUUGCCACUACUUUUCAAACGCUCUUCAUAUAUCCGUGUUUAUUUCAGACAGUAUCAAUUUUAACGUCGCUUUCAUUUUCUGCUGAAUUGAGAUUUCAUCGCCUCCGGUCGCACAAAUGAACCUGUUACAGAAGGGUAUUAUAUAGAAGUAAGGAUGAAGAUUGAUUUUCAGAACAAUUACCAUUACCUUGACACAUGUUAAGCUAAACUUUGAGGAAUUAACACAUUCAAACAAAAGGAGUUUGUUGAAAAUAAACGUAUGUUUCCCGAUAAUAUUGUCGAGAAAUAUGAUUCCGAAUAAAAUUGGGUUUGUUACUUUCGCUGUAUAUUUUUUGUAAAGGUCAUAUUGAGGCACAACUACAAAAAAUAUUUACUGAUUUGUCUGUCAACCAGCCAUCAUGUAAACCUAAUUAAUACAGUGCGACAAAACGAAAGAACCCAUAUGCUUUGGUUGCAAACAGCGUCUUGUCAUUCUUGUCGUUGUGGUGGUGCAACAGAUCGCGAUAACGAAAAUAGGAAAAGUCGAUAUGUCGUUGAUGUAAGAGUGACUAAAACGACAUAAAGACAAACCAAAUAUUUUAAGCCACAAACUUGACAUUCGUUUUAACGUUUUUCAUUCGUUGUUGCGGGAGGAAAAGAGUGACACAACGGCUGAAUAGUAAAUAAAAAAUGUUCUAAAAGCAGCAUAGCAGUAUAUAGAACGAUCUCUUCUAUGAUAUUGUUUUCUUUAACCUAUGCCAGUCUGACAGAGCGGGACGACGCCAUUUUUAAGUCGCCAUUAUCGGCGAACGUACAAAUAUCGCACUUUCUUUCUGUCGCCAUGCAGAGUUUGCAAAGCUGACAGGAUAAGACAAAAACAAAGAAACAGACGGUUGGCCUAAGUGCUUGGCUUGUAACAUUGUUAUCUUGUCAUGCUGGUCAUUUAUGGAUUUUCUAGUAUUUUUAGGUACGAUGUGUUUAUAGUUUUUGCAAACUGCAUUGAAAUUUUAUAGGUAUAGUUUAUUUAAAUGAACAAACAAUGGUUUAUUGUUUUCUGUUUGUAGAUUUAUUAUUGAAACAAUACAAAACUAGACAGUUUUGAUAAAUACGUAUGUACAUGCAGUUAGAACACGAUUUAGAGAGGAUAUUUCCUGAAAUACAUUGAAAUAAUAUUUAAUUUACAAGAUAUUAAACUUUUCAUUGUAAAAUAAAAACGAAAUAUAUAGUAUUAUAUAUCAGCUAACUUAACAAAAUAUGAAUUAAACAAACGAACGGAAGCGGUUGCAUGUAAUCAAUAAACCAUGAAAUUCAAAAAUAUAUUUUUGUUUAUUUGUUUUUGGUUUAACGCCGUUUUUGAACAGUAUUUCAGUCAUGUAACGGCGGGCAGUUAACUAGUGUACCUGGAUUCUGUACCAAUACAAACCUGUUCUCCACAAGUAACUGCCAACUUCCCAACAUGAAUUAUCAGAGGUCGAGGACGAAUGAUUUUACACAUUUCUACAAACAAAAAUCAUAACAGCCUGCUAUAUAAUUUCACUGUUCUUGGUAAUUAUUAUUUGAAAAGAGAAACUUGAAGGGUUAUAUAUAUUUUGUCAGAACAAAACAUUUGACCCUGAAAAGGAUAGUGUUCAUCUAAUAAGCAAAGACAAUCAUGCUAUAAGUUUGAUGACACAAGGCCUAAGCAUUUCUAUAGUUAACGAUUUGAAACGCUUUAUUAUCUCAAGGUCUCUGUGACCUUGAUCUUUGACCUACUAAGCCCACAUCCGAUAAGGUUCAUAUAUAACCAAAGAAAAUGAUCCUUUAGUGUUAAAGUCUCUGGUACAAACAUUCUUCAGUUAUUUGGUUGAUAAGAAACGAUUUUCAAGGUCAAUGUAAAUAUGAUCUUAGUUUGUGACUGAGGCACUGUAGUUUUGAAAUUUGACCUACUAACUCCAUGUGCAAAAGGCAUCAUCUGUUGAUGCAAAGUGUUCUAUUUUAUGUAUGAUUAAGUUUGUAGUAUGUUUUACAGCCACUAGUUUUUGUGCAUCAACAAGGGAGAAAAAAGAACGUACUAGGGGGAAAGAACCAACCAGUCAGUUUCUUCUCCCUUCACCGUCUAUUAUUCACACAUGUAGGCACAAACAUUCAGUUUCUUCCUCUAUAACUGACUAUUAUUCACACAUGUAGACACAGACGUACUAGGGGGGAAAGAACCAACCAGUCAGUUUUCCCCCUAGUUCUUUUGCAUAAAUAAGAAAAAAAAACAGUUGUUUUUUUUUUCUCCCUCGUUUAUGCACAAAAACUUAGUUAUUAGGGAAAUUAAACAACAAGGGGUGAGAAAAAACCAACUGGUUGUU